AUUUGGUGGGGUUUGAGUGAAAUCCAAUCUCUAGAACUAUACAAUACACCAACCACUCCAAUAGAGAACGAACUUCGUACGAAUAUGAAUAGUCCAAUCUCUUUGACCAGUCAAUAUUCGAUUGAGCCCACAACUUGGGGAACAUCAUCAUAUUGAGGGAGGAGUCAUUUGGUGGGUUUUUAGUGAAAUCCAAUCCCCAGA
rnacentral:lncRNA from 1 species